GACGAACGCUGGCGGCGUGCUUAACACAUGCCAGUCGAACGGAAAGGCCCUGCUUUUGUUGGUUGCUCGAGUGGCGAACGGGUGAGUAACACGUGAGUAACCUGCCCUUGACUUUGGGAUAACUUCACGGAACUGGGGCUCAUACCGGAUAGGAGCUCCUGCUGCAUGGUGUGGGUUGGAAAGUUUCGGCGGUUGGGGAUGGACUCGCGGCUUAUCCGCUUGUUGGUGGGGUAGUGGCUUUCCAAGGCUUUGAAGGAUAGCCGGCCUGAGAGGGUGACCGGCGACAUUGGGACUGAGAUACGGACCAGACGCCUACGGGAGGCAGCGGUGGGGAAUAUUGCACAAUGGGGGGAAGCCUGAUGCAGCAACGCCGCGUGCGGGAUGACGGCUUUCGGGUUGUAAACCGCUUUCGCCUGUGACGAAGCGUGAGUGACGGUAAUGGGUAAAGAAGCACCGGCUAACUACGUG
rnacentral:rRNA from 1 species